AGUGAACGCUGGCGGUAGGCCUAACACAUGCAAGUCGAACGGCAGCACAGUAAGAGCUUGCUCUUACGGGUGGCGAGUGGCGGACGGGUGAGGAAUACAUCGGAAUCUACUUUUUCGUGGGGGAUGACGUAGGGAAACUUACGCUAAUACCGCAUACGACCUACGGGUGAAAGCAGUGGAUCUUCGGACCUUGCGCGAUUGAAUGAGCCGAUGUCGGAUUAGCUAGUUGGCUGGGUAAAGGCCCACCAAGGCGACGAACCGUAGCUGGUCUGAGAGGAUGAUCAGCCACAAUGGAACUGAGACACGGUCCAGACUCCUACGGGAGGCAGCAGUGGGGAAUAUUGGACAAUGGGCGCAAGCCUGAUCCAGCCAUACCGCGUGGGUGAAGAAGGCCUUCGGGUUGUAAAGCCCUUUUGUUGGGAAAGAAAAGAAGCAGGUUAAUACCCCGCUGUUCUGACGGUACCCAAAGAAUAAGCACCGGCUAACUUCGUG
rnacentral:rRNA from 1 species